AACCAAAGGGGGCGAGCGUAAGCAGCUUCUACCGAAGGAGGAGCCUGCGUCCGAUUAGCUAGUUGGUGGGGUAACGGCCUACCAAGGCGACGAUCGGUAGCCGGCCUGAGAGGGCGACCGGCCACACUGGAACUGAGACACGGUCCAGACUCCUACGGGAGGCAGCAGUGGGGAAUAUUGCGCAAUGGGCGAAAGCCUGACGCAGCGACGCCGUGUGGGUGAUGAAGGCCUUCGGGUCGUAAAGCCCUGUCGGGUGGAACGAAUCACUUGGCGGCAAAUAACCGCUAGGUUUGACGGUACCACCGAAGUGAGCCCCG
rnacentral:rRNA from 1 species